CCGGGGAGGAGCCUGCAACCGAGGUACAUGCCCUUGACAGAAUCAUAUCUGGGACCCCUUGGUCUGCAGGCUGAUGCUCUAUCCACUGAGCCAAACAGGCUAGAGCUAAAAUAGAUGAUUUUUACUUCUGAGUUCCUGCGGCCUGUGCUUAGAGGAGAUAUGCUUCUACCACAAGAGGGAAUUUGAGUCCAUGGAUAAAGGGCACGUAUAAAAGGAAAGGGAACUAUAAAACUUUGCUAGUAUAACUUCUAACUUAAGAUUAAGGAGCUACGACUUGGAGUUUAAAACCGUGUGCUCUGCUUUUCUUAGCCCAAACAUCAUGGCUGCAAUGCAGCACUUCUGGGACAGCUUCGCUAGAGAAAAGUAACAGCUGUCUUUUGAUGGGAAUAAUUUCAUGGAAUCUUCAUGGGAAGAAACAAGUGUUUGUUUUUAGCAUCUCUUCAGCUGGGACUAACACAAUAGGAAGCAUAAAGGAUUUUUAAAGGAUGAUGUGCUUUCAAAUCCCACAUUCGUCAGUUUUAGGCAAGUUUCGUCUCUGAGCCCCAAUUUCUUCACGUGUAAAAAUGGGGAUUAUGCUACUGACCUCAUGAAGCUGUUAUCAGGAUUAAAAGAGAACAAAUGUAAAGCAUAUAGUGCAAUACCUGGCAGCUUUGAGGUGCAAAAUACUGUUCCAUCAGUAUUUCCGAAAUCAGAGAGCUGACGGGCAAUUUGGCUCCCUAAGGAACUUAAAAUUCUACCUAAAAUGAAUCAGUGAUGUAGAGUUAAAAGGUUCCUAUGCAAUCUGAAUCACGCCUCUAAUUUUAGUAAUGAUUUCACUGCUUUGAGCCUCAACCCAGAGUCCUUGCAGUGUGUCGAGUUUUCUUCCAACUGAACUGAACUACAUCGAUGUUGGUCUGUGCCACUCAUAUUUAUACAUCUAUGUUCAGAGCAGUAGCUUCUUCCUGACAAUCCACACCUUACACUUCCUCUGUGGAAUGCAUCCUAUUCUCCAUGCAGCGGGCAGUUCAAGUUAAGUGUUACAGGCCGGGACCUACCAGUUAUCAAGAGGAAACGAUGUGGUAUAACUCAGGAAAAGUAUCUGAGCAGAGGAUGACUGCUUUUCUGUCAUAGCUAACCUGGUGACAAAAGCAAUCGUAACUGGGAAAGCACGGGAGAUUGGAGAAAUGAACACUCAGUGGUCUACAUACAUCUGCAAUGCACCCGUGUUGUCUAGCUGCAGGCUAAUUAAUACCUAUAACCUUACCUUCUGUCUCGAAAAAGCCAGGUAAGCUCGCUCUCUAGACAUGGAUGCCAAAAAUGAUGUUCCUAAUGGGGCUUUGAAGGAGAGGGCACAAAUGCCUAGCCACUCACCCCAUUUUCCUGACAACUGGCCACCCUGAGGGAUUUACAUCUAUGGAACAGAAUGGGCAAGACCUUGGCAAACUGAGUAGAGAGGCGCUGAUGAACUACAGAGUUAACGAUGCAAAGAACUGAGGCAGCUGAGGAGGAUCUGCUUCCUGCUGAGAGGACAAAUGGAGAGAGUUUUCUGCCCUGAGAUGCAUCAUCCCUGUCUGACCAGUCAUAGCUUGUCAGCGGUUACCAACCAGUGGUCAGCGGACCAUCUGUGAAGUCCGAAAGUUUGGCGACCGCUGCCCUGGGCAGAAGGAGUCCAUCAUAAUCCAUCAAUCCUCUUUGCAUCUCUGGAAAAAACAUUGCCCAGAUCCUUUCAGAGGUUAUUGGGAAUAUGCAGUUUCUCCAUUUACCUGAUUUGCAGGGAGAAUCAUCUUAAGUCAAACUGCUUUAAUAGAACUAAAGCCAUGUCAGGGUUUGAACCGCUGUAAAGAUAUUCAAGUGGAAAUAUCCAGCAGAUAAUUAAGGUCUGAUGCUUAGAAGAGAGGUUGGAGCUUGGUCCUAGAGAUGAAGAUUUGGGACUAAGGGGAGAGUGGAAGAGAGCGGGAAAGACAUAGAGAAACACACUGAUUGACUGGCUCUUGCAUGAGCCCUGGCCAGGGCCGGGGAGAAGCCUGCAACCAAGGUCCCUUACUGUUGCUCUUCGGCAAACUGCUUCUGCAUGUCUGGAGUGUAUUGUGGGCCUGGAGGACGCAUUCCCAGGAAUGGCGCUUGUCCCAGGUAAGGCAUUCCUGCUGCUGGCAUUGGUCCCAUUGGUAUCCC